CUAAGCUUGACAUCCCUUGGACCGCUCCUUAAUCGGAGCUUUCCCUUCGGGGACUGAGGUGACAGGUGGUGCAUGGUUGUCGUCAGCUCGUGUCGUGAGAUGUUGGGUUAAGUCCCGCAACGAGCGCAACCCUUGUCUUUAGUUGCCAUCAUUAAGUUGGGCACUCUAGAGAGACUGCCGAGGAUAACUCGGAGGGAGGUGGGGAUGACGUCAAAUCAUCAUGCCCCUUAUGUUUAGGGCUACACACGUGCUACAAUGGCUGGUACAGAGGGCUGCAAAACCGUGAGGUUAAGCCAAUCCCUUAAAGCCAGUCUCAGUUCGGAUUGUAGGCUGAAACUCGCCUACAUGAAGCUGGAGUUGCUAGUAAUCGCGGAUCAGAAUGCCGCGGUGAAUGCGUUCCC
rnacentral:rRNA from 1 species